UACAGAGACUGCAAGCGUUAUUCGGAUUCACUGGGCGUAAAGGGUGCGCAGGCGGUUGGGUGUGUCAGAUGUGAAAUCCCGAGGCUUAACCUCGGAACUGCGUCUGAAACUACUCGACUAGAGUACUGGAGAGGGAAACGGAAUUCACGGUGUAGCAGUGAAAUGCGUAGAUAUCGUGAGGAACACCAGUGGCGAAGGCGGCUCACUGGCCUGGUAUUGACGCUGAGGUGCGAAAGCGUGGGGAGCAAACAGG
rnacentral:rRNA from 1 species